UACGAAGGGAGCUAGCGUUGUUCGGAAUCACUGGGCGUAAAGCGCACGUAGGCGGAUUUGCCAGUCAGGGGUGAAAUCCCGGGGCUCAACCUCGGAACUGCCUUUGAUACAGCAAGUCUUGAGUUCGAGAGAGGUGGGUGGAAUUCCUAGUGUAGAGGUGAAAUUCGUAGAUAUGCGGAGGAACACCGAUGGCGAAGGCAAUCCCCUGGGCCUGCACUGACGCUCAUGCACGAAAGCGUGGGGAGCAAACAGG
rnacentral:rRNA from 1 species